GGGCAGAAGAAGAUAGGUCCAGGUCACAAAGGCACUGCUCUGACACCACAAGAUAGCAGCAACGUGUACAAGGCUGUUUGGAUAGGGAGGAACUGAACUUGGUUGAAACUCAAGCGACGAUUUGCCUCCCCGCUCACGCGUUCAGCCGGGUCCUGCAGAGUGUUGCCAGCCAGAACGAGCAGCAAACGGCUCCGCGCACCCCCACUGAGUCUGCCGCGGUGGCAGAAGCGGCAGCAACAGCUUUGAUGUUAAGCACAAGCGGCAAAGGUACUCUCACGGUACCAGACACGGCUCUGGCCAAUACGGCAGCGGUAUCCAUGCAUAGUCCCAACCUGAUAUCCAUGACACCCAUAGAAAACUUAUGAAGGCAUCACUGUACACAAAUAUGAAAGACAUAAGACCUGAAAUUCCUGUUGCAUCUCAUCGGAUGAAAAGAAGGACUGUUUCCUGAUCCCAAGCGGAUGAGAGUUCUGAACAGUGUCAGAAUAAAGAAUUAUUUGCCACCUGGACUUUGUUGCAUGUCAUCUAGACACUUCUUUAAUGGCCUUCAAGAUACAAAGACUGCACCUGCUAAGCUUCAAUCACACAUUUGGAAAUGUACGUGGCUGUUCAGGUAACUGGUACUUUGGGGAUUUCAUAGUAACCUUUCUGGACUCAAGAUCUGCAGAGCUCCUACUGUUCCUCUGUGAAUUUUGUCUACAAAAAUAAGUUUUAUUUUUAAUCAAGGUCA